AGGCACAGUCCAACAAUGACUAAGAUCGCUGCUAUACUUUAUGUGGCCCUCGUGGUCUUCGCCAUGGUUCAAGCGACACCAGAUGGCGGUGGAUUAGGCGGCAGCGUCGGUGGCAAUAGUGGAAUUGGCACCGGAGGUGGUUUCAGAAGCAGCCGCAGCCUUGGAGGAGGUGUUGGUGGUAUUGGCGGUAUUUCCGUUGAUAAAGGCCAAGGUUAACAUGGACGCUACUUUCGGCACUACACUGGCAUACGACGGCUGAUAAUAUUAUGUUACAAUAUUGAGUAAUAUUCAACUUUUAACUCCUUUUCAUAUCAAAUUAUAAUUCCGGCUAUAAUAAUAUAUACCCUAUGUUUCCAAAUAUAGCAUUAAUUUUUCCAAAAA